rnacentral:rRNA from 1 species
GAUGAACGCUGGCGGCGUGCCUAAUACAUGCAAGUCGAGCGAAUGGAUUAAGAGCUUGCUCUUAUGAAGUUAGCGGCGGACGGGUGAGUAACACGUGGGUAACCUGCCCAUAAGACUGGGAUAACUCCGGGAAACCGGGGCUAAUACAGGAUAACAUUUUGCACCGCAUGGUUCGAAAUUGACAGGCGGCUUCGGCUGUCACUUAUGGAUGGACCCGCGUCGCAUUAGCUAGUUGGUGAGGUAACGGCUCACCAAGGCAACGAUGCGUAGCCGACCUGAGAGGGUGAUCGGCCACACUGGGACUGAGACACGGACCAGACUCCUACGGGAGGCAGCAGUAGGGAAUCUUCCGCAAUGGACGAAAGUCUGACGGAGCAACGCUGCGUGAGUGAUGAAGGCUUUCGGGUCGUAAAACUCUGUUGUUAGGGAAGAACAAGUGCUAGUUGAAUAAGCUGGCACCUUGACGGUACCUAACCAGAAAGCCAUGGCUAACUACGUGCCAGCCGCCGCGGUAA